ACAAUAGACUACCCGGGUAGUCCACGCCCUAAACGNUGCGAACUGGAUGUUGGGUACAUUACGGUACGUCAGGUGUCGAAGCUAACGCGUUAAGUUCGCCGCCUGGGGAGUACGGUCGCAAGACUGAAACUCAAAGGAAUUGACGGGGGCCCGCACAAGCGGUGGAGUAUGUGGUUUAAUUCGAUGCAACGCGAAGAACCUUACCUGGCCUUGACAUCUGUCGAAUCCUGCAGAGAUGGCGGGAGUGCCGCAAGGAACGACAAGACAGGUGCUGCAUGGCUGUCGUCAGCUCGUGUCGUGAGAUGUUGGGUUAAGUCCCGCAACGAGCGCACCUUCGUCCUAGUUGCCAGCACGUAAUGGUGGGAACUCGUAGGGAGACUGCCGGUGACGAAACCGGAGGAAGGGUGGGGAGUGACGUACGAGUCCUCAUCGGUCCCGUUACCGGCCGACGGGCGUACACACGUACUACAGUGGUCGGUACGAGUAGGGUUGCGA
rnacentral:rRNA from 1 species